GAUGAACUGAGCUCUGAGGCAGAACGUGUAACGAAUCCUCUGACAGAGCAUUCUCCGAACACAACAGGAUAUGAUGUUACAGUGUGUCCAAAGCUCUUAUUACUCUUUGUGCACAGGAUUAAGAUCCACACAAUGACUACAUAAAAGCACGGAUGAGACGAGUUGGUGAAGGCAAAAGUACUCAGGUUACACAUUACACACAUGAUUAGGCUUCAGGCACACUCUGGGUAACUACAAUAAUUCACUACAAUAACACCAACUGAAUUAUGAAGCUUUCCGAAGGUUUUAAGGUGUUUCAGAUGGUUCCCAGGGUGUAGCUAUGCAGUUCUGAGUGCUUUAUAAGGCAAUAAUUGAUGGUUGCUUACUGGUCCAAGUCUGUAUAAUAUGUUUGUUUCUCCUUCAAGGUAUAUCUAUUGGAUUUCUUCCCAAGUUUUAUCAUACGCCAGACAUAUAUUGUAAAUUUCAUGACUUGAGCACAGUUUUUGUCAACAAGUAGCAUGAUGUAUCUGUUGCAUAAAUGGUGCACACCAAAGUUUAUUAUGUCAGAUUAGGGGUUUGUUUAAAUUUCUACCUUUAACCUUGGGUGUGAGAAACGCAGAGUAACAGAGAGCAGCAAUGCUUGGCAUCCAGCAGACAAAAGGGUGGGACUGGCAGGAAAAGCAAUGAUGAGUAAAGCUCAAGUUCUCCUUUAUGAGCCCCACGUCUUGAUUACAGUAAGGCUCAGACUUGAGGAACUUUUUUCAGGAUUACUGCCAGUUUCCUCCAGCACACACACACACACACACACACACACUGCUGGAUGCUGAAGCGUCUCUGUGAAAGCAGAGUGGGCUGAGACUAUAAUGAGAGCGGUAUGAAGGGAUGAUGUUGAAGACUGGCCGAGCCAGUCAGGGAUAAACAGUGGGGAGUUUCCUUCAGAUUCUACGAUCUGCUCUUCUGGUUUGUCUCUGUUCGGCAGUCCGUUCUGCUUUGAUCCCAGAGAAGCUAAAAGAGGCUAUAAAAAGCCUAAUAACCUCGCUGGACCCCACGGCUAUCCUCCUGGCAUGGAUCGCUGGACAUUUCAGAAGAGCAAGGAAUAUUAGGACUGGAGAAUUACAGUCCUUCUUUGGAGUUUGUGAGGCUUAUGGAUUCCACCUCACGCCAGACUGCACUUUAUUUUGCAAGAAUUUGAUGCGGUCUGUUUGCCCCAUCCUUGUUUCAUGUGGCAGCAACCCUUUACACUUCCUUCCCCACAUACUGUAAAGCAAAUUACUUAAUUUAGUGAUAUGAGAAACAUCAGACAGAGACAAAAGCCAAAUGGAGGACGUCAUAGGAAAUGGGUUUUAAUAAAACAUCCUUCAAAGGCA
ensembl:lncRNA